CAUCAUGGGGGUCCUAUGUGUGGAGAAGCUUGGUGAAUCGGUGACAUUGUUGGACAGUUAGAGACUGAGAUAAUAUCCCCCAAAAACUAUUUGAUUAAAAUUAGUUUCUUCAAACUACAGGAAACAAAUGAGUUAAAUUAUAUAUAUUGUUUUCUUGAUUUUAGAACUUCAUUUUUGUGUGUUGAGUUUAUUUAUUUCAGUUUGCUUUGCUAACUUUAGUAGCAAGAAGCUAGAUAGCUACCAGAGUGCAGUUUUCUCUGCCAGAAUGUCUUCCUACGACAAUGUAGCGCAUUUAUUUUGUUGAAGAACCCCUUUCGUUGCCCAAGAUUCAAGCUUCUGGGAAAAAACUGCAUCGAUCAUGUAAUGGACGAAGUUCUGCAUAUUCAAACUGCGCAACACAAUGAGAAGCUAAGUCCCCUCCUGUUCCCUGAUUAAGCCAUGGUGGCCUCUCCACUUCACUACCAGUGUCAACUCUCUCCCGACAUGAACUGAAGCCACGUCUCAUGUGCCCUCUCAUCCACUGGUGCAUUGAAUGUUUCAUCUCCAAGCACUUCCUGCCCUCAGAGGAUGAGUUGAGCUCUUCUCCAACACCAUCCAUCCAUGAUGAGCCUGUCCUGCACUGAAGUCAAGCCUCCGAACACACCCCAACUCAUACUCUCAUCCAAAUCACUGCUGUGAUAUCUUCCUGACACUAAGCAGCCAUCUCAUUCUCAUUGCCCAUAAUAUUUGACCAUACAUGUCUUUAUUAAAUGUCUUAGGUUGAAAUCAUUUCUUCGAUUUUUUUUUAAACACGCAUUAUCGCUUCUGUGGGGUCUGCAUUUAUACCGUGGGUCUCCCAUUCACCUCAAUUUUUUUCAAUCACUAGCCUCCACUGAUGCUUAUGGUGUUCUAGCUAUUCACUCUUCACACUCUGAUAAUGUUUGUUUAUUCCAUUGCUAUGGUCACCGGCAGCUGUCCAAGACAAUAAUCACAUCAUGACACAUACAAUCCCCUCUGAUCCUGGAAACUCGAACCAGACCAGCUCACCAAUAAGACAGAGAUAAUUAACAUUAUAUGAUUUGAUUGGCUAAUGGAAAAGGACCAGAUGGAAUGGUAUGCCAGGAACAGAGGCGAUGCCACGUCAGAAAAUUGCUACUGCUAGAAUCCAUAAUGCCGAUUUAGGGAGUAUGUUUGUGUAUGUGUGUGUGUGCAUGAGAGUGUGCAAGUGAGAGUGGUUGUAAGCGAGUGACAAAAGAGAGAGAGAGAGUGGGAGAGAGUAGAAUGGAUGUUAGAGAGAGAUAGGUCUUCUGGCCUCCUCAACAUGUACAGACUGCUUUCUCCCAUCUUAAACACUGUAUAUAGAGCAGGCCAUACAGAGGACAUUCAAUAAUAUUGCAUGGAACACAAAAGGCUAAUCCGCUCAGAUACAGUGCCUUCGGAAAGUAUUCAGACCCCUUGACUUUUUCCACUUUUUUUUUUUUUACAGCCUUAUUCUAAAAUGGAUUAAAUAAAUACAAAUAUUCAAUCUACACACAAUACCCCAUAAUGACAAAGCGAAAACAGGUUUUCAGAAAUGUUUUCAAAUGUAUUAAAAAUGCAAAACAGAAAUACUUUAUUUACAUAAGUACCCUUUGAUAUGAGACUCGAAAUUGAGCACAGUUGCAUCCUGUUUCCAUUGAUCAUCCUUGAGAUCUUUCUACAACUUGAUUGACAACUUGAGUCCACCUGUGGUAAAUUCAAUUGAUUGGACAUGAUUUGGAAAGGCACACACGUCUAUAUAAAGGUCCCACAGUUGACAGGGCAUGUCCGAGCAAAAAUCAAGCCAUGAGGUCGAAGGAAUUGUCCGUAGAGCUCUGAGACAGGAUUAUAUCGAGGCACAGAUCUGGGGAAGGGUACCAAAAAAGUUCUGACAGAGCUCAAUAGUUAUUUUGUGGAGAUGGGAGAACCAGAAGGACAACCGUCUCUGCAGCACUCCACCAAUCAGGCCUUUAUGGUAGAGUGGCUAGACGGAAGCCAAAUCCUCAGUAAAAGGCACAUGACAGCCCACUUGGAGUUUGCCAAAAGGUACCUAAAGACUCUCAGGCCAUGAGAAACAAGAUUCUCCGGUCUGAUGAAACCAAUAUUAAAAGCUGUUUGGCCUGAAUGCCAAGCGUCAUGUCUGGAGGCUACCUGGCCCCAUCCCUACGGUGAAGCAUGGUGGUGGUAGAAUCAUGCUGUGUGGAUGUCUUUCAGUGGCAGGGACUAGAAGACUAGUCAGGAUGGAGGCAAAGAUGAACAGAUGUACAGAGAGAUCCUUGAUGAAAACCUGCUCCAGAGUUCUCAUGACCUCAGACUGAGGUGAAGGUUCACCUUCCAACAGGACAAUGAGCCUAAGCACACAGCUAAGACAAUGCAGGAGUGGCUUCGGGACAAGUCUCUGAAUGUCUUGGGAAUGGCCCAGACUUAAGCCUGAUCGAACAGCUCCGGAGAAACCUGAAAAUAGCUGUGCAUUGCUGCACCCCAUCCGACCUGACAGUUUGAGAGGAUCUGCAGAGAAGAAUGGGAGAAACUCCCCAAAUACAGCUGUGCCAAGCUUGUCGCGUCAUACCCAAUAAGAAUCGAGGCUGUAAUCACUGCCAAAGGUGCUUCAUCAAAGUACAGAGUAAAGGGUCUGAAUAAUUAUGUAAAUGUAAUAUUUCAAUUUUUUUAUUGUGUUUUGUGUGUAGAUUGAGGGUAAAAAAACAAUUUCAUCAAUUUUAGAACAAGACUGUAACCUAACAAAACGUGGAAAAAGUCAAGGGGUUAGAGUACUUUCCGAAGGCACUGUACAGUAUAUACAUUACCCGACUAAACCACGCUUAGAUGGCUACUGAAUCAUCAUCCUUUAAUCUAGCAAUAUGUCCCCAUGGGAUAUUGAGGAAAUCAGUGAGAGUAAUGGGAGAUGACUGGAUGUGGUCUAUUAGCAGUGUUGAGUCUUGGUUUUGCUAUAGAGUAGGUCAGAGUCACGACAUGUUAUUAGCCAAUGUUAACAUGUGACGAAGGUGGUUUUACAUGUUGAACCACUCUUGCCUAAUGAGACCUGUAGACUUGUGCUAGCUCCCUGAACUAACGCAGCCAUACCGUCAUGCAAUUAGCCAAAUGACAUUGUACUUAUAAGCUAAAGUCUAGCCACUGUUACCUAUGGUUUACACCACCAAUAACAUAAAAGCAUGCAUCAUUUCAUCAUAUUACUUUUAUUUAAUUAAAAAGAAACCGGUCACGUUUCAAGUGACCAGUUAUCUCCAAUGAAACACUGUUUUAAAUACACCAAUGCAUUAAAAUGUAAAACAGAAAGCUAACUCCACGGGAUAUCCUGUAGUAAAAUAGUGGGAUCCUUCACAGGACAGCACACAAUCAGUUGUUCAUAAACUAGCUACAUUGUUGUAGAAGUACUGUCAGCUUUAAAAUAGCUCAGAGCAUCACAUAAAACUAGCUCUACAUGUACAGUAUACAUAGGAAAUGCUUACCAGGACAUCGUGUUACGUCAGUGCGUUAUGUGAGGAGUGUGACAUGUUGAUUUGUUUGCUGGCAAGAUUUCUGCAUUCAGUCUACUGUAGUCUAUAUAUUAAAAGUAGAACGUUUCAAUACCUAUGUUCAAAUAUAAAGUUUAACAGAUAUGUUGACGACCCAACUCCCAAAGACAAUAAGGAAUAUCUAAUGUUUAGAUCUAUUAGAACUAAUUCUGGUCUACACACCACUUGUUAUAUGUUUAAUAGCGGUAUUAGCUUCCCAAGGUAAUGCCUAGGCUUUAGCUCACCAUGCUAACCGUCUCACAGAUGAUCCAGUCGGUUUCAAGAAUGGAAUAUAUAAUUCAUAUAUACAUUGUUCUUCAUUACACCACAGGUUUUAGAGUCCAUAUUUUCUAAAUGUCUAUGGAGAUAUUGUCCCCCGUCUGUCCAUUAUCUAACCGUCUCCUCCCCUCCAAUAGGAAGGUAAGAACCGUUGUCCAGCGGUGUCCUAGUGACCGUUGCCGAGUCUCGCAGGUAGGUUUGAAGUAGGUCGUAGUCCCCAUGGCGAUGGCAUCAAACUGUUCUGUCAACAGCCAAGCCUCCCAAAGGAUUGUCAGAGCGUUCAUUAUUGUCAAUGUGACCACCCAGAACUGUGCAGCUACUGCCCUAACCAACGACUGGUCCUCAAGGGACACCACCACCACAUACAGGUGGUAAAUGGCCGCAGCCACGAAAAGGAGGUGGGCUGCGGCCAUGGAGAGGACGAAGAUGAUGAAGAGUCGGUGGUUUCCCCUACCAAUGCAGCGGUUCAGGAACAGACAGUGGUGGUCGUAAUCCCUCACACACACAUCACACAAUUUACAGUGUUUAGUAUGGUCCGGCUGGAACAACUAGAGAAGAGAGGGAAUAGCAGUGAGAAACACGUUCUGUUUGAGUGGUUAACUUGACAAGUUAUAGAUGCGGACCGGAUUGUUAGAUCAAAAUUUGCUAAAUGUGCACCAAAGUGGAUGUCAAAUCCGUCAUGAUUUCUGUAUUUUAAACAGGCCCACAAUGUGGUUAAGUUACAUUUGGAUAUGUUUGUCUGUUUUCGUGCAUUAAAAUGUAGAAGUUGUCCCUUUUUAGAUUUAGAAGAAGUGACUAUUAAAUGCUAAUUCCCGUUUGUAUAAA